GGCUCAGAACGAACGCUGGCGGCGUGCUUAACACAUGCAAGUCGAACGAUGAAGUUUUCUUCGGAAAAUGGAUUAGUGGCGAACGGGUGAGGAACACGUGAGGAAUCUGCCUUCCACUCUGGGAUAACUCCGGGAAACCGGGGCUAAUACCGGAUACUUUCAACUGGCGGCAUCGCCGGUUGAAGAAAGUUUUUCGGUGGAAGAUGACCUCGCGGCCUAUCAGCUUGUUGGUGAGGUAAUGGCUGGGCAAAGCAACGACGGGUAGCCGGCCUGAGAGGGCGACCGGCCACUUUCUCCCUGAGACACGACCCAGACUCCUAC
rnacentral:rRNA from 1 species